rnacentral:rRNA from 1 species
CAGCCGCCACGGGAAAACGGAGGGGGCUAGCGUUGUUCGGAAUUACUGGGCGUAAAGCGCACGUAGGCGGCUUGCUAAGUUAGAGGUGAAAGCCUGGAGCUCAACUCCAGAAUUGCCUUUAAGACUGCCGAGCUAGCAGGUGAGAGAGGUAAGUGGAAUUCCGAGUGUAGAGGUGAAAUUCGUAGAUAUUCGGAAGAACACCAGUGGCGAAGGCGGCUUACUGGCUCAUACUGGACGCUGAGGUGCGAAAGCGUGGGGAGCAAACAGGAUUAGAUACCCCCGUAGUCCCUGUCUCUUAUAC